rnacentral:rRNA from 1 species
GCUUAACACAUGCAAGCCGAGGGGCAGCGGGGAGGAAGCUUGCUUUCUCCGCCGGCGACCGGCGCACGGGUGAGUAACACGUAUGCAACCUGCCCCUGUCAGGGGGACAACCCGCCGAAAGGCGGGCUAAACCCGCGUACAUGCCACCGGGGCAUCCCGGAGGCAGGAAAGGCUUCGGCCGGACAGGGAUGGGCAUGCGGCGCAUUAGGCAGUAGGCGGGGUAACGGCCCACCUAACCGACGAUGCGUAGGGGUUCUGAGAGGAAGGUCCCCCACACUGGUACUGAGACACGGACCAGACUCCUACGGGAGGCAGCAGUGAGGAAUAUUGGUCAAUGGUCGGGAGACUGAACCAGCCAAGCCGCGUGAGGGAUGAAGGUACAGAGUAUCGUAAACCUCUUUUGUCAGGGAACAAAGGCGGGGACGUGUCCCCGGAUGAGUGUACCAGAAGAAAAAGCAUCGGCUAACUCCGUGCCAGCAGCCGCGGUAAUACGGAGGAUGCGAGCGUUAUCCGGAUUUAUUGGGUUUAAAGGGUGCGCAGGCGGUCUGUUAAGUCAGCGGUCAAAGCCCGGGGCUCAACCCCGGCCCGCCGUUGAAACUGGCAGUCUCGAGUUGGAGAGAAGUAUGCGGAAUGCGCGGUGUAGCGGUGAAAUGCAUAGAUAUCGCGCAGAACUCCGAUUGCGAAGGCAGCAUGCCGGCUCCACACUGACGCUGAGGCACGAAAGCGUGGGUAUCGAACAGGAUUAGAUACCCUGGUAGUCCACGCAGUAAACGAUGAAUGCUGGCGGUCCGGGGGGGAUUGACCCCUGGGUGGCGAAGCGAAAGCGAUAAGCAUCCACCUGGGGAGUACGCCGGCAACGGUGAAACUCAAAGGAAUUGACGGGGGCCCGCACAAGCGGAGGAACAUGUGGUUUAAUUCGAUGAUACGCGAGGAACCUUACCCGGGCUCAAACGGGGAGUGACUCAGGCAGAGACGCCUGUUUCCCACGGGACACUCCCCGAGGUGCUGCAUGGUUGUCGUCAGCUCGUGCCGUGAGGUGUCGGCUUAAGUGCCAUAACGAGCGCAACCCCCGCGUGCAGUUGCUAACAGAUAACGCUGAGGACUCUGCACGGACUGCCGGCGCAAGCCGCGAGGAAGGCGGGGAUGACGUCAAAUCAGCACGGCCCUUACGUCCGGGGCGACACACGUGUUACAAUGGGUGGUACAGCGGGAAGCCAGGCGGCGACGCCGAGCGGAACCCGAAAUCCACUCUCAGUUCGGAUCGGAGUCUGCAACCCGACUCCGUGAAGCUGGAUUCGCUAGUAAUCGCGCAUCAGCCAUGGCGCGGUGAAUACGUUCCCGGGCCUUGUACACACCGCCCGUCAAGCCAUGGGAGCCGAGGGCGCUUGAAGCC